AGGGAAACAACCCAGACCGCCAGCUAAGGUCCCAAAGUCAUGGUUAAGUGGGAAACGAUGUGGGAAGGCCCAGACAGCCAGGAUGUUGGCUUAGAAGCAGCCAUCAUUUAAAGAAAGCGUAAUAGCUCACUGGUCGAGUCGGCCUGCGCGGAAGAUGUAACGGGGCUAAACCAUGCACCGAAGCUGCGGCAGCGACACUCAGGUGUUGUUGGGUAGGGGAGCGUUCUGUAAGCCUGUGAAGGUGGCCUGUGAGGGUUGCUGGAGGUAUCAGAAGUGCGAAUGCUGACAUAAGUAACGAUAAAGCGGGUGAAAAGCCCGCUCGCCGGAAGAC
rnacentral:rRNA from 1 species